CGGCCGCGUCGACGUGAGUAACACGUGGGGAACCUGGACCCCAUAGCCUGGGAUACCACUUGGAAACAGGUGCUAAUACCGGAUAAGAAAGCAGAUCGCAUGAUCAGCUUAUAAAAGGCGGCGUAAGCUGUCGCUAUGGGAUGGCCCCGCGGUGCAUUAGCUAGUUGGUAAGGUAACGGCUUACCAAGGCAAUGAUGCAUAGCCGAGUUGAGAGACUGAUCGGCCACACUGGGACUGAGACACGGCCCAGACUCCUACGGGAGGCAGCAGUAGGGAAUCUUCGGCAAUGGGGGCAACCCUGACCGAGCAACGCCGCGUGAGUGAAGAAGGUUUCGGAUCGUAAAGCUCUGUUGUAAGUCAAGAACGAGUGUGAGAGUGGAAAGUCCACACUGUGACGGUAGCUUACCAGAAAGGGACGGCUAACUACGUGCCAGCAGCCGCGGUAAUACGUAGGUCCCGAGCGUUGUCCGGAUUUAUUGGGCGUAAAGCGAGCGCAG
rnacentral:rRNA from 1 species